AUGUUUCUAUAUGACCACUCGAGAUAUCUCGAGAGAUUUUCAUAAUCGAUAUAAUCGAUAAUUUUCAUUCGAGUAGUCCCAUCACUAGUGUGAAGUAAAUAAUUAA